rnacentral:rRNA from 1 species
AACGAACGCUGGCGGCAUGCCUAACACAUGCAAGUCGAACGAGACCUUCGGGUCUAGUGGCGCACGGGUGCGUAACGCGUGGGAAUCUGCCCUUGGGUUCGGAAUAACAGUUGGAAACGACUGCUAAUACCGGAUGAUGACGUAAGCCCAAAGAUUUAUCGCCCAAGGAUGAGCCCGCGUAGGAUUAGCUAGUUGGUGAGGUAAAGGCUCACCAAGGCGACGAUCCUUAGCUGGUCUGAGAGGAUGAUCAGCCACACUGGGACUGAGACACGGCCCAGACUCCUACGGGAGGCAGCAGUGGGGAAUAUUGGACAAUGGGCGAAAGCCUGAUCCAGCAAUGCCGCGUGAGUGAUGAAGGCCUUAGGGUUGUAAAGCUCUUUUACCCGGGAUGAUAAUGACAGUACCGGGAGAAUAAGCUCCGGCUAACUCCGUG